CCUACGGGAGGCAGCAGUAGGGAAUCUUCCACAAUGGGCGAAAGCCUGAUGGAGCAACGCCGCGUGGGUGAAGAAGGUCUUCGGAUCGUAAAACCCUGUUGAUAGAGAAGAAAGUGCGUGAGAGUAACUGUUCACGUGUGGACGGUAUCUAACCAGAAAGCCACGGCUAACUACGGGCCAGCAGCCGCGGUAAUACGUAGGUGGCAAGCGUUAUCCGGAUUUAUUGGGCGUAACGGGAACGCAGGCGGUCUUUUAAGUCUGAGGUGAAAGCCUUCGGCUUAACCGGAGUCGUGCAUUGGAAACUGGGAGACUUGAGUGCAGCUGCGGUGAGUGGAACUCCAUGUGUAGCGGUGAAAUGCGUAGAUAUCUG
rnacentral:rRNA from 1 species